ensembl:lncRNA
GGUAAGACUAAGUUAACUUAAGGCCAAUUCAAGGGCAUGACAAUGUAGACUAUUAAAUUAGUAAUUUGUGUCACAACAACAUGUAAAUAUUGAUUCCAUUUUGAUUGUCCUCUCAGAAAUCAAAAGCUUCUGUUCCACAGCAGAUGUCCAGAAAGACAAAAACUGACCAUUUCAAAGUAGCGUCUAAAACUUCACAGGUAAGACUAAUUCAAGGGAAUGAAGACAUGUUUCAAUACACAUAGACUCUUUAACACUUUUCUAGUUUCACAACUACACAUAAAUGUUGAUUCUCUCCUGUUUGUUCUCAUAGGCAUCAAAAGCUCAGCCCAAAUCCAAAAACAAAGAAAGGGACCAUGUCGAAGUUGUCUCAGACACUUCAGAGGUAAGACUAAGUACAUUUUUGGCAUUUUCAAGGGCAUGACGACAUGUUAUACUACACAUAGUCUAUAAUGUUAUCAGUGUGUUUCACAUCAACAUGCAAAUGUUAAUUCUCUUCUGUUUGUUUUCAUAGGCAUCAAAAGCAUCUGUCGCAAAGCACAAAGGCAAAAAGAAAGAAACGGACAGUGUUACUGGGGCCACAACUCAUGUCAGUAAUGAUGACAUUGUACAGAUUAUUGAAUGCUACUUCCAAACAAUGUUGAAUUCAAAAGAGUGUGGAAGAAAAAUAUUUUUAUUCAACCAUUACUCUGCCGGUGUUGUAUUUUGGGAGAGGUCUGCAUUGUCAAAGCACAGUUUCCGAAAGGUCGACUUUGAAAACUAUGAUGCCAUCAUUGGAUUCAUGCAAGUAUUUCUGGUGUGUAAAACCAUUGUCACACCACAGUUCAUUACUUAUGGACAUGGAAAACUAAAUAAACUAUAUGUUUUUAAUAGUAUCUCAAUAGGAA